CUACGGGAGGCAGCAGUGGGGAAUCUUGCACAAUGGGGGAAACCCUGAUGCAGCGACGCCGCGUGAGCGAUGAAGCCCUUCGGGGUGUAAAGCUCUUUCGGCAGGGACGAUAAUGACGGUACCUGAAGAAGAAGCUGCGGCUAACUACGUGCCAGCAGCCGCGGUAAUACGUAGGCAGCGAGCGUUGUUCGGAGUUACUGGGCGUAAAGCGUGCGUAGGCGGUGGUCCAAGUCUGGUGUGAAAUCUCCCGGCUCAACCGGGAGGGUGCGCCGGAAACUGGGCUGCUGGAGUGCGGGAGGGGCAAGCGGAAUUCCAGGUGUAGCGGUGAAAUGCGUAGAUAUCUGGAGGAACACCCGUGGUGCAGACGGCUUGCUGGACCGUGACUGACGCUGAGGCACGAAAGCGUGGGUAGCAAACAGGAUUAGAUACCCCCGUAU
rnacentral:rRNA from 1 species